rnacentral:rRNA from 1 species
AUUGAACGCUGGCGGCAGGCCUAACACAUGCAAGUCGAACGAGUGGCGGACGGGUGAGUAAUGUCUGGGAAACUGCCUGAUGGAGGGGGAGAACUACUGGAAACGGUAGCUAAUACCGCAUACCAUCGGAUGUGCCCAGAUGGGAUGAGGUAGUAGGUGGGGUAACGGCGCACCUAGGCGACGAUCCCUAGCUGGUCUGAGAGGAAGACCAGCCAAACUGGAACUGAGACACGGUCCAGACUCCUACGGGAGGCAGCAGUGGGGAAUAUUGCACAAUGGGCGCAAGCCUGAUGCAGCCAGGCCGCGUGUAUGAUGAAGGCCUUCGGGUUGUAAAGGACUUUCAGCGGGGAGGCGUUACCCGCAGAAGAAGCACCGGCUAACUCCGUGCCAGCAGCCGCGGUAAUUC